rnacentral:rRNA from 1 species
UCCGCUGAGGAUGGCUUUUCUUCAGUGUAAGGAGCUGAAGGAAUAAGGAGAGGGCAAGUCUGGUGUCAGCCGCCGCGGUAAUACCAGCUCUCCGAGUGGUAGGGACGAUUAUUGGGCUUAAAGCGUCCGUAGCCGGCUCAGCAAGUCUUCCGUUAAAUCCAGCGAUUCAAUCGUUGGACUGCGGAAGAUACUGUUGGGCUAGGGGACGGGAGAGGCCGACGGUAUUUCCAGAGUAGGGGUGAAAUCCUGUAAUUCUGGGAGGACCACCAGUGGCGAAGGCUGUCGG